rnacentral:ncRNA from 1 species
AAAAAGUCUAUGACGAGAAGAGUAACUGAUAUACUUGUCCAAAGAGAGCCGGCGGUUGGUGAAAGCCGGUGUCAAGAUAUGAGCGAAAAUCAUCUCUGAGAUGCCUAGCUGAAAUUGUUCUAGUAAGCUAUGCCGGAACUGCCCGCCGUUAAAUUAGGGACGCGUAUGUUGGUACGUUGAUCGAGAGCCGCAUUUUUUGUUGUGCGGAAGUAGGGUGGUAACGCGAGCUAGCUCGUCCCUAUC